rnacentral:lncRNA from 1 species
ACCGGAAAUCGGCGACUUUCGUCACCAGCAGCCGCGCACAAAUGCACGGGGAGGAAGGAGAAGAAAGAGGGAAAGAAGAAGGAGACUCACCUCAGCCUCCGGAGACCUUGUCGGCGGCGAUCACGGCGAGAAAUCAAAACGGUGACCGCGGCUUUAUUUCGGGAAAAUCAAAGGGAAGGAGAGGGAGAAGAGGCCGAUGAUCGGUCUCAAGGGGAAGGGGUCUUCUUAUAGAGCACCCUAGGACUCCGAGGGGUCCUAGGAGUCCUAAUUUCCAU